rnacentral:rRNA from 1 species
GACGGGUGAGUAACGCGUGAGAAUCUGGCUCUAGGUCUGGGACAACCACUGGAAACGGUGGCUAAUACCGGAUGUGCCUAUGGGUGAAAGGUUAACUGCCUGGAGAUGAGCUCGCGUCUGAUUAGCUAGUUGGUGGUGUAAGAGACUACCAAGGCGACGAUCAGUAGCUGGUCUGAGAGGAUGAUCAGCCACACUGGAACUGAGACACGGUCCAGACUCCUACGGGAGGCAGCAGUGGGGAAUUUUCCGCAAUGGGCGAAAGCCUGACGGAGCAAUACCGCGUGAGGGAGGAAGGCUCUUGGGUUGUAAACCUCUUUUCUCAAGGAAGAAUGAUGACGGUACUUGAGGAAUCAGCAUCGGCUAACUCCGUGCCAGCAGCCGCGGUAAUACGGAGGAUGCAAGCGUUAUCCGGAAUGAUUGGGCGUAAAGCGUCCGUAGGUGGCUGUGUGUGUCUAUUGUUAAAGAGUUUGGCUCAACCAAAUAAGGGCGGUAGAAACUACACAGCUAGAGUGCGUUCGGGGCAGAGGGAAUUCCUGGUGUAGCGGUGAAAUCCGUAGAGAUCAGGAAGAACACCGGGGCGGAAA